rnacentral:rRNA from 1 species
AGCACGUUAUGGUGGGCACUCUAAGGAGACUGCCGGUGACAGACCGGAGGAAGGUGGGGAUGACGUCAAGUCAUCAUGGCCCUUACGGCCUGGGCUACACACGUGCUACAAUGGUCGGUACAAAGGGUUGCCAAGCCGCGAGGUGGAGGCUAAUCCCAUAAAACCGAAUCGUAGUCCGGAUCGCAGUCUGCAACUCGACUGCGUGAAGUCGGAAUCGCUAGUAAUCGUGAAUCAGAAUGUCACGGUGAAUACGUUCCCGGGCCUU